GAUGAAGAACGCAGCGAAAUGCGAUAAGUAAUGCGAAUUGCAGAAUUCCAGUGAGUCAUCGAAUCUUUGAACGCACAUUGCGCCCCUUGGUAUUCCGAGGGGCAUGCCUGUUCGAGCGUCAUUAUGACCCCUCAAGCUCAGCUUGGUGUUGGGGCCUGCUGCACUGGCAGCCCUUAAAAUCAGUGGCGGCGCCAUCUGGCUCUAAGCGUAGUAAUUCUUCUCGCUAUGGAGUCCUGGUGGAUGCUUGCCAUCAACCCCCAAUUUUUCUAUGGUUGACCUCGGAUCAGGUAGGGAUACCCGCUGAACUUAAGCAUAUCAAUAAGCGGAGGA
rnacentral:misc_RNA from 1 species